AAAACAAAAACGAAUCAGCACUUCUUCUUCUUCAUCAGAGUUCCAUACACAGAGAGGAGGAAGCAGAGCAAACAACUUCUAUGUAUUCUUUAACUGUGAACUACCCACUACUAUAUAGAACAUGCCUCUUCUCUUUCUUUAUCUGCUCGUUCUUCUCUCUCUCCCUCUCCGAUCCUCGAAUCACCCAAUCCGGCCUCUUCUGCGGCAACUCAACACGUCUCAGGGACCUUGUCCCUGCUUUUGUUAAGGAAAUGGAAGCUCUUUCGCAGCUCAUAAACAAUACCCACUUUGCUACUUACCACCUCAACAACUCCCCUGUU
rnacentral:misc_RNA from 1 species